GGCAGUCAAACAACACCUAAACAUGCAUUUCUAUUGCAACCAAAAAUACCAGAGGCUACACAAAACAUCCAAGAUCAAAUCACUAGUUGACAACUAAUUCAAACGAGGCCCGGAAUAAAACCUACGGGUUAAACAAAAGGGCUUCACGUCAAAAUAACUCGCAAACUAACUUCCUCAAAAGCUAAAACUAAUUGCACAGAAAAAUCCGUGGGAUUUUUCUACCCCGGAAACAUAUAUAAUAUGUGGGGUUUGCAAUACAAAAUAACGCUACACAAUAAUGCGGGAGAAUUAAACCUAGACACGAAAAAUACUCUAACGGGCAAUCCCUACAUGCAAAAAAAUAC
rnacentral:lncRNA from 1 species